GACGAACGCUGGCGGCGUGCUUAACACAUGCAAGUCGAACGAAGUGGCGAACGGGUGAGUAACGCGUAAUCAACCUGCCCUUCAGAGGGGGACAACAGGUGGAAACGACUGCUAAUACCGCAUACUGAAGGAGGGGAUUGGGUAUGAUUAGCUAGUGGGGGGGGUAACAGCCCACCAGGGCGAGGAUAAGUAGCCGGUCUGAGUGGAUGGACGGCCACAUUGGGACUGAGACACGGCCCAGACUCCUACGGGAGGCAGCAGUGGUGAAUCUUCCGCAAUGGACGAAAGUCUGACGGAGCAACGCCGCGUGAGUGAUGACGGCCUUCGGGUUGUAAAGCUCUGUUAAUCGGGACGCGGUACCGGAAUAGAAAGCCACGGCUAACUACGUGCCAGCAGCCGCGGUAAUUC
rnacentral:rRNA from 1 species